rnacentral:rRNA from 1 species
UACGAGGGGGGCAAGCGUUGUUCGGAAUUAUUGGGCGUAAAGGGCGCGUAGGCGGUGCGGUAAGACUGUGGUGAAAUCUUCGGGCUCAACUCGAAGCCUGCCGCGGUGACUGCCGUGCUGGAGUGUGGGAGAGGUGAGUGGAAUUCCCGGUGUAGCGGUGAAAUGCGUAGAUAUUGGGAAGAACACCGGUGGCGAAGGCGGCUCACUGGCUCGUAACUGACGCUCAGGCGCGACAGCGUGGGGAUCAAACAGG